AGCGAACGCUGGCGGCAGGCCUAACACAUGCAAGUCGAACGAAGUCUUCGGACUUAGUGGCGGACGGGUGAGUAACACGUGGGAACGUUCCUUUAGGUUCGGAAUAACUCAGGUAAACUUGUGCUAAUACCGAAUGUGCCCUUCGGGGGAAAGAUUUAUCGCCUUUAGAGCGGCCCGCGUCUGAUUAGCUAGUUGGUGAGGUUAAGGCUCACCCAGGCGACGAUCAGUAGCUGGUCUGAGAGGUUGAUCAACAACAUUGGGACUUAGACACGGCCCAAACUCCUCCGGGAGGCAGCAGUGGGGAAUCUUGCGCAAUGGGCGAAAGCCUGACGCAGCCAUGCCGCGUGAAUGAUGAAGGUCUUAGGAUUGUAAAAUUCUUUCACCGGGGACGAUAAUGACGGUACCCGGAGAAGAAGCCCCGGCUAACUUCGUGCCAGCCGCCGCCGUAA
rnacentral:rRNA from 1 species